AACUUUGCUAUGAAAAAGAGUAGUACACAUUCACCCCGUUUACAGAGAGUCUGCGGUGCUGGGAGCAGAUAACGGGCCAUGUGGAAUGGACUUUGGAGCAGCUGACCGAACUUGAAGUAGGCUCAGACGGAGCAGUCUCCGUUACCAACGUCUGGAGUGAUUCCAUUUUAAUGGAAUAAUCAGGGUGGCACCACGGUUCAUUCGUCCCUUUU
rnacentral:ncRNA from 1 species